rnacentral:misc_RNA from 1 species
GAUCAUUGAAUCUUUUCGAUCACAUUCUUUCAACCCCUUGUCAAGUGAUUGUCUUGAUCAGUCGGUAGUUUUCGUGGGGGGGGAGAGCAUUGGAUUGCCCUUCUCCCCGGCGCUACCACUGCCAACCAACCACACGCUCCCAAUCGUAAACAGCAGACUGAAGACCUUGCGUGUCGACCCGGCGAUCGCUCGCCCAACCGACCGCAAACCAAAACCAGAGACAACUCUCAACAACGGAUAUCUUGGCUCCCGUAUCGAUGAAGAACGCAGCGAAAUGCGAUACGUAGUGUGAAUUGCAGAAAUUCGUGAACCAUCGAAUCUUUGAACGCAACUUGCGCCCUUCCCUCGGGAAGGGCAUGUCUGCCUCAGCGUCGGCUUCAACCCUCGCAGGUCGUUCACUCCUUGUGAGUGAACGUCCUAGCGGACCUGGCCCUCUCACCCCCGGCGUCCCGAUCGGUGGGUGGGCUGAAGCGCAGAGGCUCGAGCAUGGACCCCGUUCGCAGGGCGUCGACUUGGCAGGUAGGGUUCCCUACACCCACUGUCGACGUCCGAGGGGCUCGUGCUGGAGGCCCAGCAGGAACCGAGGCGCGCGGGCGGUCGAGUGGAGGAGGGGAGGGAGCUCUGGAAGCCCCCCCCCCCGACCCGACGACCGGCCCCGCCCUCGGCAACCCACCUCGUCACGAC